UGCGUAGGCUGUGGGGUAAGUCUGGUGUGAAAUCCCGGAGCUCAACUCCGGAACUGCACUGGAUACUGCUUUACUAGAGCACUGGAGAGGGAACUGGAAUUUACGGUGUAGCAGUGAAAUGCGUAGAUAUCGUAAGGAAGACCAGUGGCGAAGGCGAGUUCCUGGACAGUUGCUGACGCUGAGGCACGAAGGCCAGGGGAGCAAACG
rnacentral:rRNA from 1 species